UUUCUGCUUGAUGAUGAGACAUUUGAAC
rnacentral:sRNA from 1 species